AUCUGGCCCUAAACCUCAACUCUCGUCAAUGUUGGUUUAUUGCCGUUAAAACAAUCCUCACUCUCAUGACGAAUUAUUUGAAAACGUAUUUAUUUAAAACUGGUGGUUGAAAACUAUUAAGCACGAAUUAACUACCGAACCCCUAUUAGCUACUAACUACACAUCCUAGCAACGCUAAAUUUAGCUAGACAUAACUAAAACUAAAGACAUAAAAUAAAAUAAAAAUAAAGACAUUAAAUAAAAACAGAAAAAUAAAAUAAAUAAAAUAAGCAUAAAAAUAAAGAAAAGAAAAUAAAAUAAAGAACCUGAAUUAAUAAAAGAAAUCUUGAAUACGGACACCGACAACACAACAACAGGAAAUAAAAAUAUUAAACUAAGAGAAGAAACCAAGAAUUAAAUCUAGUCUCAAUUCUCUUCCUCAACUGUUACAAGUUGUUGUGUGUAAAAAUAUAAGAAAAGACACAUGUAUAAUACUAGUAGCUAGGAGACCAAGACAAUUGAAAUAGGCGAUGUGGGACUUGUGGCAAUUGAAAUUCAUGCAUGCUGAAGAAGCUUGUGGCGGGCGCCACAUGGAUGUGUUUGGCGGUCAGCACACUUGUGUUGUUGUGCUAGUUGAAAUUUCAUGUAUAUUGUUGUACUGAAGCUUGUUAUUGCAUUAACUUAAAUUGGUUCACAUGUUGUAGUUGUGGCGAGCAGCAUGAAUGGUGUUUGUGAUGGGUCACGCUGGUGUGGUCCAUAUGGGCUGCACUUGUGUGGUCCUUUUUGUCCUUUUUUAAUCCAUUUUUGCUACAUUUCUCUUUGUUUUUAUCAAUGUGUCCUUUUUAGCAUGUUCGGUGUAAGUAACUGAAAAACAUAAAAAUACCAAAGUAAUACGAUGAAAAUGUAGAAAUAAAUAGUAAAAACAUAAGCUAAAUUAACUAAAUAUAUAGUACAUUUUCCGGUGUAUCAAACUCCCAUAAACUUGAACCAUUGCUUGUCCUCAAGCAAUUUAGCUUGCAUAUAGAAAACUUUUAAAAUGCGAAGCAACUCACACACACAGACUUAGAGAAAAAUAACAUCACAAGUACUCAUACGUGGUCAAAAUUUCAAAUCGGCUAAGAUUAAUUAGUUAGGUUCUUACACAAUCAAGAAGGGUAUUUUAAUGACACACAAAAUUCUCCCUCUUAUACAUACCGAAUUUGGAUCAUGCCGUUGUACUAAAAUCUAAAUCUUCUCCUUUUGUUUCAUCCUUUUUCAUUCUAGACAGUCACAUUAAGACCCUUUAUCUAUGUCACACACAUGGUAAGAAAGCCGGUUAGCGUCUUUAGUCAUCUUUUUCAACUCGCAAUUAUACAAAUUUUUGUAUUAGCAAUCAUAUAAAUAUAUUUUUUUUCCAAGGUUUAACCGUAUUACCACAGUAUGACCUUAUAUUAUUUUUUUCCUUUAAGGUUUAACUGUAUUACCACAGUAUGACCUUAAGAAUUUGCUUAGAUGAUUCGCUUAUAUUCAUCGACAAACCUACUUAAUGUGUGACUUUAUAAAUGGUGUCCGACUGGAUAGAUAAACUACUAAAGGAUUCCACAAAUUUAAAUCAGGAGAUUUUGGCACAAUGGUUAUUCAAAUUGAUAUCUAUACUAGGGAGACUUCUGGGUGUUGGAAAAAUACCGACUUUGUUGUGAAAUUCCCUAAUUUCCUUAACUUAGCCUCUCGUCUUCUCUUAACCUAUAUACUUUCUAAGUGAGCUAUUAUCCUAAGUCUUUGGAAAAAAAAAUUUAAUUUGGCUCAAGAAAAGGAAAAAUUUAGAAAACCAAAGAAGAUACUAUAAAUUCAAUUUUUUUAUUAUGCGAAAGGAAAUAAAAAUUCAAAUAACUAAAAAUUAAAAGUAAAUAAAGAUAGUAGAAUACUCCCCUAAACUUAAAUCCAACAGUGUCCUCACUGUUGCGACUCAAGAGCAGAAUUGGAGCGUAAAACCUGUGGUAGAUCAUGGGGGAGAUUGUUGAUAAUUUUGGAAAUUAUUGAACUGAAGCCUUAAACCGCCUAGCUCUUGUAUGACAUUGUCAAGCUGCUGUUGACGGUGCUCUUCUGAACUCUCUCAUUGGUUGUGAUAGCCCUGCAUUUGAUGUUGGCUUUGAAGAAUUUGUGCUUAUUGGGCU
rnacentral:lncRNA from 1 species